rnacentral:tRNA from 4 species
GCGCCCUUAGCUCAGUUGGAUAGAGCGUCUGGCUACGAACCAGGAGGUCGCACGUUCGAGUCGUGCAGGGCGCACCA